rnacentral:rRNA from 1 species
AUAUUCGGCCAUAUCAUGCUGAGAGCACCGGUUCUCGUCCGAUCACUGAAGUUAAGCAACGUCGAGCCUAGUGAGUACUUAGAUGGGUGACCGCUUGGGAAACCUAGGUGCUGUAAGCG